rnacentral:tRNA from 1 species
GGAGGCGUAGCUCAGCCGGUAGAGCACUUGCUUCAGACGCAAGGGGUCACAGAUUCGAGUUCUGUCGUCUCCACCA